AAAAGCGCCGAAUCCCGCCUCGCAAGCUCGGCGGGAGGGAGAGAGGAACCCAUCCUCUCUCUACCUUCCAAACUCCACCUCCUUCUCAAAGUGUGCCAACACCACAACGUGUGUACCAACAAGUGCAAGUGUGUUAGCAUUUUCACAAACAAUUUUCUUUGAAGGAGUUAAGUUAGCUCACUAGGUUCUAAAUACAUGCACAUGAACAAUGACACCUAGUGGCACUUGAUAACCGCUUAGCCAAAGAAUUCCCCUCUUUAUAGUACAGCUAUCUAUCCUAAAUGUGAUCACACCCUCUAUGGUGUCUUGAUCACCAAAACCAAAACCCUAAGCAAUACCUUUGCCUUGAUCUCCAUAGGGUUUUUGUUUUUCUCUUUCUUCUUUUCCAAGUUGAGCACUUGAUCAUCUUGUGGUCAUCACCAUCAUCACCAUGAUCAUCACUUGCUCCAUCACUUGGCAUGUACCAACCUCAUUAAGUCUACAUACACUUAUUAUGGAGGUUAGUACUAGGGUUUCAUCAAUUAUCCAAAACCAAACUAGGGCUUUCAAUAGCCAAAAAAAUAAAAAAAUAAAAAGACAAAACCUUCAUAGCAAAAACUUUGUACUAAAGCAUGCAAUAUUAUAUGUUCAUUAUGUGUAUCUACUUAUAUGGAGUCCAACAAAAUUGAAUUUUCUAUUUUGUGAUUUUUCUGUGAUUUACUACGAUUUUUUAAAAAUUCAACCGAAUAAUUAAAAACAGAAAAAGAUAAAACCACUGUCACUGUAGCAAAAAUCACCAUUCGUUGUAGUAAAACCGCCUUUGAAAUCGCUCUAAGCAGAUAAAAUGCAAAGUUUGAAAAGCUGAGGGAGGUGGUUUGCUCGGUUUUGGAGUUGAGAGAGUAAAAACGGAUUUUCGUGAAAGUUGACAGAGAAAAGUAGACUUUUGCCAAAAAUAAAGCUAGAAAGUUGUACAUCUCAUCAAAAUUUACAAUUUUCAUAAAAAAUUCAUCUUCAUCUGAUGUCGUAUUAAAACGUUAUGAUUUUUCUAAGGUUCAAUCUCUUUACGCCACCACUAGUGGCAUGAGAAAACAAUACUCUCACACCAAUGAAAAUGGUGUGACAAGGUUUUUCACAUAGAAAACGUUGUCUAAUGUGACAGAUAUUACUGUGCUAAUACAUGUUGCGCGUCAAUAUUAUUCUAUCGCGCGAGCGGCACUGGCACAACAAAAAAUGUCGCAUCCGCAAAAAAUUAGGAGCAAUUAUUAUUAAAAAUAUUGGAUAAAAAAUAAUAAAAAAUAUCCAAGCUCGGUAUCCGAGUAUCAUGCGUGGGCAAUUGGGCAUGGAUGAUCCUACCAUGGGAUUCACAAAAAGACGUGAACAAAUGACACCCGCCUCCGACACAAAACUAACCAUUUCCCCAUAUGUUGACUACUCCUUCCUAACAAAUUAUAAAUUGUUUUAUUUUUUUAAAUUUAUCAAUUAUACAUCUAAAUAUAAUAAAUGUCUUGAUACAUAGUAAAUUCUAUAUAAAAAAUCAUUAGAAUAGAUCAGUGGCAAAGCCAGAAAAUUUCAGGAGCCCGGACAAUUUUUAUUAAAUAAAAAUAUUUAACUAUAAAAUAACAGAAUUUUAUAUAAAUAUAAAGAAGAUUUUUUUUUUAUUUUGGCGAGGAGCCCGGCCGGCCGCCUGGGGUCCGGGCGGUGGCUCCGCCAGUGGAAUAGAUGAAGUAUUUGCUUAUUUAUUCUCUUGCCGUGUCAACAUUUAGCAAAGUGGCCUGGUAAAUUCAAUGAAAGCGAAUCAUGUAAUCGUAUUCAGACUGUCAUAAAAUUAAAAUAACCACAACAGUAACUAUUGUAAUGUUAUUAGCACAACUCUUAGAGCAUCUUCAUCACAUUGAGAAAAAAGUCCCUUAUAACUGAUUAAAUGUGAUUAAAAAAUAAGAUUCCUGGCUAAAGGCGAUGGUUAAUCCUGUACAUUGAGAGAGAAAAAAUAUUUUCCUUGUAUUACCUUUCCUCCACUUUUCUCUCUUUUAAUAUAUCAUGUAGUUUGAACCUUAUUUCAAUCCCAUAAAAAUCAAAACUUUUCUGAUUAUACCCCCAUACACAACUAAAAAACAUUUUAAAUCCAUAAUUUAGAAUUCUAAUUUAAAUUUGAACAAAAUAUAGGACAGAUGCACCAAUUAAUAUAUAUAAACAUGUGAAAACAAAGAUAAAUCUAUUGUCCACAUGUGAAAACAAAGAUAAAUCUAUUGCCUAUCUGUUUGCCACCUUAUGCUCAACAAAGUCAUUAUGAAGUUGCUCAUGUGCCUCAUAGGGGCCAGCCUCGAAGGUGAUGAUGUGAUCUCGAGGAAGGCGCGACAAGGAGGGCCGAUCUAGGCUGACGACUAGCCUCGUGGUGGCCUCUGAUGGUGGAUCUUGCUGGGUGCC
rnacentral:lncRNA from 1 species